rnacentral:rRNA from 1 species
GAAACUGGCGAACUNGAGUACAGUAGAGGUAGGCGGAAUUCGUGGUGUAGCNNNGAAAUGCUUAGAUAUCACGAAGAACUCCGAUUGCGAAGGCAGCUUGCUGGACUGUAACUGACGNUGAGGCACGAAAGCGUGGGGAUCAAACAGGAUUAGAUACCNUGGUAGUNCACGCCGUAAACGAUGAAUGCUAGCUGUUAGCGAUAUACUGUUAGCGGCACAGAGAAAUCGUUAAGCAUUCCACCUGGGGAGUACGCCGGCAACGGUGAAACUCAAAGGAAUUGACGGGGGCCCGCACAAGCGGAGGAACAUGUGGUUUAAUUCGAUGAUACGCGAGGAACCUUACCUGGGCUUAAAUUGCAGUGGAAUAACGUGGAAACAUGUUAGCCUUCGGGCCGCUGUGAAGGUGCUGCAUGGUUGUCGUCAGCUCGUGCCGUGAGGUGUCGGCUUAAGUGCCAUAACGAGCGCAACCCUCAUCGAUAGUUACUAACAGGUUAAGCUGAGGACUCUAUCGAGACUGCCGACGUAAGUCGUGAGGAAGGUGGGGAUGACGUCAAAUCAGCACGGCCCUUACGUCCAGGGCUACACACGUGUUACAAUGGGGGGUACAAAGGGCAGCUACCUGGCGACAGGAUGCUAAUCUCAAAAACCUCUCUCAGUUCGGAUUGGAGUCUGCAACCCGACUCCAUGAAGCUGGAUUCGCUAGUAAUCGCGCAUCAGCCACGGCGCGGUGAAUACGUUCCCGGGCCUUGUACACACCGCCCGUCAAGCCAUGGGAGCCGGGGGGACCUGAAGUAUGCAACCGUAAGGAGCGUCCUAGGGUAAAACUGGUGACUGGGGCU